rnacentral:rRNA from 1 species
UACGAAGGGGGCUAGCGUUGCUCGGAAUCACUGGGCGUAAAGGGUGCGUAGGCGGUUCUUUAAGUCCGGGGUGAAAUCCUGGAGCUCAACUCCAGAAUUGCCUUUGAUACUGAGGAUCUUGAGUUCGGGAGAGGUGAGUGGAACUGCGAGUGUAGAGGUGAAAUUCGUAGAUAUUCGCAAGAACACCAGUGGCGAAGGCGGCUCACUGGCCCGAUACUGACGCUGAGGCACGAAAGCGUGGGGAGCAAACAGG